rnacentral:rRNA from 1 species
UCGGAUUAGCUAGUUGGUGGGGUAAAGGCCUACCAAGGCGACGAUCCGUAACUGGUCUGAGAGGAUGAUCAGUCACACUGGAACUGAGACACGGUCCAGACUCCUACGGGAGGCAGCAGUGGGGAAUAUUGGACAAUGGGCGAAAGCCUGAUCCAGCCAUGCCGCGUGUGUGAAGAAGGUCUUCGGAUUGUAAAGCACUUUAAGUUGGGAGGAAGGGCAGUAAGUUAAUACCUUGCUGUUUUGACGUUACCAACAGAAUAAGCACCGGCUAACUUCGUGCCAGCAGCCGCGGUAAUACGAAGGGUGCAAGCGUUAAUCGGAAUUACUGGGCGUAAAGCGCGCGUAGGUGGUUCAGCAAGUUGGAUGUGAAAUCCCCGGGCUCAACCUGGGAACUGCAUCCAAAACUACUGAGCUAGAGUACGGUAGAGGGUGGUGGAAUUUCCUGUGUAGCGGUGAAAUGCGUAGAUAUAGGAAGGAACACCAGUGGCGAAGGCGACCACCUGGACUGAUACUGACACUGAGGUGCGAAAGCGUGUGGAGCAAACAGGAUUAGAUACCCUGGUAGUCCACGCCGUAAACGAUGUCAACUAGCCUUUGGGAUCCUUGAGAUCUUAUUGGCGCACCUCACGCGAUAAGUCGACCGCCUGGUGAGUAC